UCUAAUAAGGAGGGCGCCUAAGAAUCAGCUGAUAGCCGCAGAGACUAAGGAGACUCCCCCCUCGAUCUGGUUCUUGAUCUCACCAUCAACACCAGAUAACAGAACCCCCAUUUUUUCCAACCUAGAGCAACCUAAUUCUUUCUGUUUUCCAGGAGCGAACAAAUGGCGAAAGAGAGUCCCUCCAAAAAUUAAUCAGCAUCGUUACUCCUCUUCCCCACCUUCAUCAUCUUCUUUCCAUCAAAUUAAAAAAAAAACACAUACAAGAGAAAUGGACAGAUUCAAAAGAAAAAUGAAUGAAAAAACAGAAAAUAAAGGGUUUGAAGGCUAUUCGAAUUUCUGCUCUUUUGCUUUAGUUUUUUUGGAAUUUCGAGUGACAUUUGGGUUGAAGAAGUUUUGUUUGGUUGCUGGAACUGUCGUUGAUGUUCUGCUGAGUCCGCGUAGCUGAGCUUUCUAGUUUCUUCUUCACCUUUGUUUGAUUCUAUUUUUCCUGAUUCACUACUGUCCAGGUUGUUCCACAGCAUGUAACAUUGAUCACUGAUUGCGGUACAUCCUCCUCCCAGUAGUCGUGAUGAGCCUCAUUUCAUUUCGGGGUCAUGCAUCUUUGUUCCUUGUAUAUUGUACUUGAGGUAUAGCUAGGGCCUUAUUGCGACACUUUUUAGUACUCUUUUGUAUCUUUUAGAGGCUCCGUAGACAUAGUGUCGGUUGUAUAUGGGUGCUGGAAAAGUCAGACGAAAUAUUGUUGUGUUUGAAUCAUUUAUCCCUCUUCAAACUAUGAAAAAUGUGUGUAUUUUGAGACUUCUAAAUGAAGUAACUAAUGAAAAUGAUUCGGUACUGUA